rnacentral:misc_RNA from 1 species
UCGCGUCGAGCAGAUUGUACUGGGCGCCGCGUUCAUUGACGUAGACGCUGGUCAUAGCGCCGCCCCAGCGCGAGGCCACCGGAAGCGCGAGAAUGUCGUAAAUCUGGACAAGGCCGUCGCGGACGCAAUGGGCCGCCGCCAGAUGCGGCUUGCGGCUCCGCCGUGCAUUCGCCACCGCUUCGCUCAGGAUCAGCGCGCAGUCGGGCGGAAACGCAUCGAGCGCCGUAUCCCACACCUUGGUUUCAAGCCAUUGUUCGACGUAGCGUCCUCCGC